ensembl:lncRNA
CAUCUUUGGCGCGUCGGUGCCGGCGAUGGGUUUUUUUUUUUUUUUCUCCGCGCUGCGACAGCGUCAAACAGACUGACUGGAAUUCCAAGUGAGCCGGAGAACAAACAAAAGCGAAGGCCGUCAGCAUGAGCGGAGGUAGGUUUAAUACUCCCUCCGGGAUUUAAAAGUCAAUUUACAGACAAUCCUCCUGUCUUGACUACGCGGCCCUCGUGCUCCCUGCUGAUGUUUUCCGGAGGACCUGGAUGGGGAGGUGACUGUGACCCAGGAGAAGACCUGCUGUUAGCAGCGUUGUUCAGACUCCUACUUUCGCUCCGAGGGCUUUUAUUUCAGUUUUAAAAAAUGCGACCGUCCAGCGGCUCUUACUGAAGGAAAAGCAGUGUUUCAUGAGAAGCUUCUUCACUCCUUCAGGGAACGAAACGCGGCGCUUCAACAUGGAGCCGACGGUCCCCAAUGAAGACCUCUCGGGUGGUUCUGCAGAACCAAAGCAGCUGGUUACGGGAGGCUUUCCUGCAGUAUGGAGCCAUUGGUCUUCAGGUUGGAUGCAGACCAAAAGCCCCGUCGGAUGUUUCUGAGGCGGCUCUGACGGAGGAGGCCUUUUUUCCAGCUGAAGACCGGGUGAGUGCAUCAGGACUCUGAGUGUGUAGACUUUGUAAACUGUGUUCUAACGCACACACACACACACACACACAC